UAUUGUCAUUCUUGUUUGAUUAGAUCCAAGGAAACUAAGGAACAAGCCAAUCCAGAACCUGCAAAAAAAGACCGUGAAGUUCCCAAAGAACAGACCAAAGCAGCUACAUCAAAGAAAGGUGCGAAG